AAGGGGGAGAUGAUGAUGAUGCAUGUGGAUGAUGAUAUGCAUGUGCAUGAUGCUGCUUUUUAGAUGUUAGAUGCUUUUUAGAUGUUAGAUGCUGUUUUUUUUUUUUCAGAUGAUGUAUUUAGAUGAUGAUGAUGAUGCUUAUAUAUGACUGUUUAUGUUUGAUCGUUAAUGAAAACUCUUGGAUCUUGACUGUGUUUUGAGAAUAUUUUUUUGCAGGAACUUUCAAGACUUCAAAACUCCAUGUCUAAGUCAUAGAGUUUGUAUUAAGAUUGUGAGAAAAAUGUAAUUUUUUCUUUUAUUGGAUCGAUCAUGCAGGAGAUUGUCGUUUGGUGAUUGCGAUGAUCUUCUUUUUAUUGUUUCUGAGUUGUGUACGAGCGUUGUAUUAUGUUUUGUCACGAAAUCGCCAAAGGGGGAGAUUGUUAAGGAUUUUCUAGGUUGGCGGAUUUCGUAAAGUCGAAUGGAGUCCUGAAGAGUUGAUCGCGAAGGUUUGAAGAGAAGAUUCAAUUUGAAGAGCAAA
rnacentral:lncRNA from 1 species